rfam:Amborella trichopoda AMTR_V1.0_contig_27572, whole genome shotgun sequence.
AGUCGGCUGUGAGGAUCAUCAUACCGCUCAAUGCCAGUUCUGCUUCAAAAAAUUCUUGAUUGAUAAGCUGAUUAAUAUCUGAGCCUUUU